GGGCACGGCGAGCGGGGAGCUCCGAGGAGGGGCGCGGGGCCGGCUCGCGGCUGUCAGGGCGGCUGGGAGCUCGGUGCCCUGUGCCGUUGCCGAGCCCGGCGGUGCGCGGCCCUCCCGCUGCGGCGCGCCCUCCCCGCUGAGCCUCGACGGUGGCCGGGGUGCGCGGCUGGCGGGGAGCGGACCGUGCGUGUGCGCAGGCCCAGUAGCUUCUUCAUGCAAAGAGAGAUCUCCAGUCCCGUGAGCAAGUUCUGUUUAACCACUGCAUCCUCAACAAAAUGGGCAGUCACCAUCAAGUCAUGUCGUUAAUGAAAGCUUGUGAGGCUGUGGCACUUGAGGGACGGUGAACACAUCCUGAAUAGGUGUACAGGGUCUCCUGCGUAGCAACUCGUUACCCUUGAAGAGUUGUUGCAGAACGCAUGAGGAGUUGAGAGAAGUCUCUGAGAGGCUGGAAGACAGCAUGGACAUGCAAGUUGGGAUGAAAACCACAUCCUGAACUCCCAAAAAAAGAAAGUUGAGAAAGCUACAAGGAAGCUCCUUUCAUCUGUAGAUCCUUUGAGGAGAUUUGUACUGUGUGUACUCACACAGUGCAUGUUGAACAGACAACUAAGAUGCCAGCUCUAAAAAUGUUCCUUCCUAUUCUGUAUCAUUAAGCUAUUGCUAAAUAAUCUAGUAAUUCUCCUGAAAUAUGGCAUGCAGUACAGGAAAGCAAGCUCUCAAAGUCCCUUGUUAUCAUUUCACCAAAGCUCAGAAAAGAGCCCCCAAGGAAGCAGGAUGCCUGAGCUCUGACCCUGCUGGAGCAGAGUGGAGAGACUGAGCAGUGGUUGAGUCACCCCAUUUGAAAACAAAUCUAUAUCUAAUUAGUGAAUCCUUGCAAUAGCCCUGGGAGGUAUAUAAAUAUUGCUGCUCUGUUUUACAGGAAACUGAGAUGGAAGGGGAUGAAUUCUUCUGUGUUAUAAAAAAUGCCAUUAACCAGUUAAAUGAAGGCAAAUUAGCUACUGAUGUGCUUUGAUUGUGCCUUAUAAAGCACAACUUACACCCCACCUGAUUACAAUUUCAGCUUACAUGCUCAUAUUACAGAGUAUUUUUUGUAUUUACUUUUUUUAACCAGUAUUUACCUUUUUUUUGAUCCAGUUCUUUACAUUUUGUUAACUUUCACAGCCUACUAACAGUGGGAGUGUUCUCCGAUCAAAGGAAAAUCACUGACUUGCUGGUAACUAGGUAUCCAUUCACUCCUAAUUCCAGGGAAGUAUGUAAUGCAAGAUGAAAUAAAUAGCAUCUCAACAUAGCACAGCAGAACAAGCAAGGUGCAAAUCUAGGUACACUGGUAAUGUUUAUGAGUGGAGGAUGGAGGGAGUUUUCCUUGUCUCCUUGUGGAGCUGAAAAUAAAAACAAUAUCAAUACAAUAAGUAACGUGGAGGAAAAUUUUUGUGCUCUGAAUAAUAUUGGACUCAUCGGUCUCUUCUUGGUUGAUUGUGAAUUUGGCUGAUCAACUUACUGAGUGAUCAUUUGAGCAUUUUAAAAUAUAUUUCUUUUAGCAAGCAAAAUAAUAUUAUCUGUUGGUGAUUCUGUAAUCAGAUUUGAUAAGAACCACAACACUUUGCUGUUAAGAUGACAGUGCUGCAUAUAUAAUCAUACGAGAAUACCAUGUGUUUCUUGCCACUGCUCAGUCCAGAACACCAUAUUUUCUUGCACUCUCUGCCUUCAUUAUUUAGUAAAAAGAAUUUUUUUCCUUUGAGUGGAUUUCACUUGAAUAUAACCAGAAGACUCACAACUGAUUUUGAACAUCUUGAAGGAACGUAUUAGGCAAAUAAAGUGCACUUUGGGGUUUCCAUAUUGCUGAGUUGAAAGGAAGACAUUUUCAAAUUGGUACAUGCUUGGGAAUGCUAAUGAGCAGUCUUGGAUAUAUGUCUAAAGAGAGAAGUUAGAAUGCUAGUGGGUAGUCAUCUUCUGCAGGCUGUCUGCCUAACACUAGAUAAAAAAAAUAUUUUGAUUGAAAAAGCUUCUUCCUCUGUACAGGGUUUUUCUCUUCCUUUUCCUUUUUAUUUUUAUUUUUUUAAUUUUCCUUUAGUUAAAAAACAAACAAACAAACAAAAAUUUUAAUCUUCCUUGCCCCUUUUUUUUUUCCUUUGAACUAGUAAUUGGGAAAUAACCCCACAUAUUUUUAAAUAUUCGUAUAUAUAUCUGAUACCAUUGACGUUUCCUCCCAUGCAUAUGGUCCAGUCUGUCUUAUUACUUUUUCUAUCUUUAAGAUAAAGACCUUUAAGACCUGAUGACAGCUCAUCACCACUAGUAAAUCCCUGAGCUUUACUAGUGUUAUGCUGGAGGUUCUUCCAGGCCUGAAGUACUCUAUAUAUUUGCCUCCCUCAAAAUGAUGCUAUCAACCUGUAAGACAAAGAACAUCCUAAGAUGCCAAUUGGAAAAGCCUAAAUGUUUACUGGCAAUAUGUCUCUUUUAGAACCUUUAUAGGUGAAUUAUAUGCAGAUAUAUAGAUAGAGGUUUUAUUGAUGCAUCUAUAUAAUCAAUGUUAUGAAAAGAUAGGGUCCAAAUAUCAGACUGUAAGAGAAAAAAAAAAUGAAGAUGUCAGCAUGGAAAAAAUGAUAGGAAGAUUUAAAAAUAUUUAUAAAACAGGAAAGAGAGGAUUAAUUAAGAGCAUGGAGAUUUUCCAUUAUCUUUAUUAAAGGAGUUUAUAUUGAUCCAACAUUGGGAAAAAUAUAAAUGGACAAAAAAAAAAACCAAAAAAAAACUGCUGAGUGAACAAUGAAAUUAUAGUUUCUUAGUUCUGGACCAUCAAAAAGAAAAACCGGUAUCAUCCAAGGUUAAAAGUGACGUAAAACUCCUAAGUGGCCAUAACUGUCCAAACAGGAAGGAAUGAUGGAGUAGUUCAAUUACACCGAACAUAAAUUAAAUACAUUUGUCAACGAAUUCUAAUGGCAAGAUACAGUGACUUUUAUGCAAGUGAAGUCUCCAGAAGUAACUUUUCAUAUAGAUUGACUAGAAGUUUGAGCAGUAUUCAUUAUGUGGAGGAAUCUUUCAGAAGGCAGUAUCACCUUGUAGUUUUCCUACAAUAGGCAUCGUAAUGAGAACCAUCCAUUCUUUUAAAUAGAGCACCCAUACUUUGCUUUCAACAAAAUGGUUAUCUCAUUAUUUUACACGAAUUGUUUCCAAACUUUAUUUCUUUGUAUAAAAAAAUAUAUAUCUGUUAUAUAUUAUGUAGUUGAAUAUGAUUUUACCAUUAGAGAUCUAUACAUCUGGUAUUGCCUUCCUGAAAUCUGUUUUAGUCAUAAUAUAAAUGGUCAUGUUAAACAGUCUUUUGAAAAUGAUCAUGGUAAUGCAUCUAACUUUAUUGAAGUUGUCUUAUGAAGUUAAAAUUAUUUGCUAGUCUCUUUUCAGCCCAGAAAACAAGUUUCUUCUGUAAUCAUUCCAUUACUUUUUAAAAGAGAUCUGACAAGCAUAAACAUUCUCCUUAUCAAACUCCUGAUUGAGAACUGAACUUCUGCACUGCCAGAUAGCCGCUUAUCUUCAACCAACAUAGCAUUCUAAAAAUGUAGCUGGUUGCAGUUAUUAAAAAUUACAUCUGCUGAAGUCUCAGCCCACAGAAUACACCAUAUUUUAUUACAAGACUAUGUCUUCUAGAAAGAUACUUCCUAGUUUAGGAACUGCUGUAUCACUGUUCAACUGUGAGAGUGUACAGGGUAUUGCAUACACCCACAUACAUAUCCAGGACCUCUUACCUAACUACAUUGUUUUUGUAACAUGAUUCUUCUGGUGACUGAAGAAAAGAGACAAUGAGAAUAAAGAAUGCAAAGGUAGAAAGUGUUGCUCUUGAAUUACAAACUAUCAUAGGAUUUCACAGGAAUAAUCUUUUAAAAUCGAGUUAUUGUAGCCUUAGUGCUCCAGUAGUGUUAAUGUGGUUUUAAAGUGUCAAAUACUCAAUUUAAAGGCAUCAAAUAUAAUGUAUUUGCAUCACUAAUUCAUGAUAACUACAGCUAAAACGGGAGACUUUAAGUUCUAAGUCAUAAGCAUCAGGAAUUACAUUUAGGAACAGUAGAAAGUUCAGAUUUCACCCCCUUCAAAGGUCAAAAAGAAAUAAAUAAAAUAAGACACAGCCCUGAACUUUUAUUAAAGCCAGAUCUUGCCUUUUUAUGGUAUUUUUACCUGAGAUCUGUACAAACAUUAAUAACACUAAGUUCUGUAAGCCUUUCAGUCUCCAUUUAACAGAUAGAAGAAGAGGAAUAGAAAAAGUUACUGUCUAAACUCCCAGUGGUACUACUUAGAUGCUACUAAGACAGCACUGCUUUGUUUGAAGUAUUACAGAAUAGCCCAAAUUCCCAAUAAAUUUAACAGAAAAGAUUAAUAAGCCAUUACUAAUGGAGGCAGAUCUGAAGUUACUGAAGAUGCACCCUUAGAAAUUAACCGUCAUGUGCAGUCCCUCACUGGCAAUAGGAGUGGGACUAGAAAGUUCUAUUUGAAUUUUUGUCUUAGAAUUCACACUGAGGAAUGAUUCAGCAUGUAACAAACAUUGGAACAGAUAGCGUACUCUCUGUAUAUACAAAGUAAAGAUUGAUUUGCAGUUUGGAUUUAGUUUGCUUAGUGCAAAAAUCAACUUAACCCAGAUUAUUCUGAAUAGUCAGCCUCUUUAAAGCCAAGCCAAAUUAGACUAACCUAGACAGCAGGUUAAGUCCAACAGCUUGUAUUGGCACUUUGUAAAAUGUCAGCGCAUUAAUUCCGCUCCUUAACUUAUAUACAGAGCUCUCUUAAAAACAUAUUUUUAUCUAGAUCAAUAAUGUACCUGAUAGAAAAAAACAACGACAAAAAACAAAACAAAACAAAACAAAAAAACCCACAUAUGUCUGUACCUUGCAACAGAAUACGCUGUAGGUACACUUCAGUUGUGUCAGAGCACAUAUAUACAUGUGAGUACAAAUGUAAGAAACACCAACUGCAUCAGAUGGAUGGCCUAUCUAGCCUAGUAUUCUGUCUGGCACAGGUAAAAUUACUUAGGAAGAAUAUGCAAACCCUACCAUUUCCACUGGUGGUCUCCCAGAACUCAAAAUAAUUCAGCGGGUGAUGCUAGAAGGUAUAUGUGUGAGUAUCCUGCUUUAGUUUCUGUUUAUGGAUAUUUGGCCAUGAAUUUACCAAAUUCUUUCAUGAACUUUAUGAGGGAACUGGGAUUGUUUGGACUGGAGAAGAGGAGGCUCAAGGAAGACCUUAUUGCUCUUUACAACUGCUUGAAAGGAGGUUGUGAUGAGGUGGGGUUGGCCUCUUCUCCCACAUAAGUAGCAAUACAACUAAAGAGAACAACCUCAAGUUGCACCGGGGAAGAUUCAGAUUGGAUAUUAAGAAAAAUGUCAUCUAAAGAGUGGUCAGGUGCUGGAAUGGGCUGCCCAGGGAGGUAGUGGAGUCAUCAUCCCUGGAGGUGUUCAAGAAAUGUUUAGACGUUGAACAAAGAGUCAUGGUUUAGUGGGGAAAUGGUGAUGGUAGGUGAACAGUUGAGUUAAAUAAUCUCAGAGGCCUUCUUCAACCUUGGACAUAAAUUACCCGAAAAGGUAAUUUCUUUUAUUUACCAGAUCCCAGUGUAAUGCAGAUAAUUUAUCAGAUCCCAGUUUAAUGCAGAUAAUUCCCUCAGUAUUUCCAUAGCCUCCCUCAACAUUCUCAUGAGUUUCAAAUAAGAGAUCAGGAGCACCUUAAGAAUGGUAGAUAGGCCAAAGUGCUAGUGGUGUAUAUUUUAUUGAAGCAUUGGCUUUAAUGUCAGUUUACCAGUUCAUUUUUCCCAAAGCUGUUUUUCACUAGAGUAUAAUAAUUUUGAUCUCUUCAUACUGUCACGGCUUCUUGGUGAAUCUUGAAAAUAUCACAAGGCUAAAUGAGAUCUUAGUUUACCUUUAAAUAGAUUCAAGCAUCUCUAAGACAAAUGUUGUUUAAAUGUGGAGCAGAAAAGGUCUCUGGAAAAAAUAUUUGGAUCUCUGCUGAAGCCACAGCAAGGUUUUCCAUUUCUCCAUUAAUUCAGUAUUCAAGUGCCAGAUUGAAAAUGACUCUUGCUUUCCCUCACAAGGACUACUUUAAAAUGAAAAUGACACUAAAGUACAAGGCAGUAAUUUAUCUCAGGGUGUCUGCUACAUUUUAAUCCUAUUUAUGUCUCUCUUUUCUCCUAUUUACACCAUUCUUCAGUGGCUUUCAUAUGUUUCCCUAAGGUUGUUCACAUCAUGAAAUUUCUGUGGUCUACAUGCAGGGCAAAAGUAUUCAAAGGUAGAUGAAUGUGGAAACCAGAAGUGUUGUCUAUCUUACCUGACAUGCCUCAUGACUAUAGCAUUUAUAGAAGUUCAGCUAUAUCAACCAUACUUGGGAGUAAUAUCAUAGAAUUAGUACAGUGUAGCUCUUUCACAAUCUUGAGAAGUAGUGGACUGUUCCUCAGCUCACAGCAGCACCUGUUGUAAAUAAAAUAGGAUCCUACUGAAGUACUGAAAUUUUAACAAUGUCUUAAUCUGUAGAGAAGAAUGCCCCUUUCCAGCACAAAGAGUAUAGAAACCCAAAUGUAAGUGGAGGAGAGAGCCUGUGGAAUAUGAUGUUGCAAGUUUUCCUCUUGAAACCCUCAGGAACUGUCUACCAUUCAGGCAAGCGUGUAAAUCCUUUCAUCUACAUAGCUUCAGUAGCCUCACUACCAUCUUAGUCUUCAAAACAGAAGUGAACAAAACAGGUCUUCAAAACAGAUCCACCUAUACACGUAUGAACAACACAAAUGAGCCAAAUCCUGUUGGAAGUUGUAGAUUUUCAGGACUUGACAUGAUGGUGCAAAACUUGUUAAUUCCUUACAUUUUUUUUCUCAUGAAUGACAUGAAAAUUUCUCUUACAUACUGCAGUUCUAAAAGAGUGCAAUACUUCUGAGAAGAGAAAGAACAGUUCUUCAGAUUUCUAGCUACUAGAAAAAUUGGAGAGGAAAGAUGCCAUUUUCUAUGAGAAAAGAAGGAUCAAAUCAUCAUUUCCACCAUUCCACAGGGGAAAUGGAAAAGUACAACAUCAGUGAAGCAUUCAUUCUGUACUGAACCACAAUUUGUUUUGCCAAACACUGUGCAGAACUUGAAACUCAAAAGCUGGAAAAACCAGUGCCCAGCACAUGCCUCCCUCCAAAUCUUAUAAGGAUAUUAUGAUAAAUUCAAUGUGGAAGUGCCAUUCUCAGUACUUUUUUGAGUAGGAAAAUUCCCAGAGGGAAAAGAAUAUAUAUAUAAGAAUAUAUGUAUACAGUGAGAGUCAGAUUAGAAAUCUUGUUGUCAGAAGGCAGGACAGAGAUUUCAGAUUGAUCUAGUGAAGGCUAGAGAGUUUCUCUGAGUUAAAGCUAAGGGAGAAAAAAAAAAAAAACAAGAAGAGAAAAAGCACACUAAAUUUACAUGGAGCUGUAGGAUGUAAAUCCAACCUACUUCAAUAGUUUUUGUAGACAGUCAUUUGGAAGAGGGAUGCUAUAGCCAAGAAUGCUUUAGUUUUGUGGGGGGAAAAAAAAAAAAAAAAAAAAGAGCAGCGUUGUUGUUGUUUCAGUUUGCAGUUGUUCUUAUUGUUUGUUUCGUUACCUUAACUCAGCACCAUGAUUGCUUCUAAAGAAAGAAAAUACGUUGGAAAAUCAUAUAAAAGCCACGUUGAUCUGGUCUGUUGUGCUUUCUUUAAAGGGACAGCUCCAUACUUGUUUGCUUUUUCUCCUGCUUCAUAAAUAUAUGAUGAUUUAAAAUGUGCAAUAUGAGGACAUUAAUAAGAAUUAUGUGUAGGAUAGAAGGGGGCAACAGGAGGCAGACCUCGCUGUGUAGAAACUGCUGAGUCUUAGGAAUACUUAGGGCCAUAUUUCUUUUCUGCUGUCACAGGUAACUGCUUGGAACUGUUCUCUCCUGAGGGUGCACAUAAGGCUGGCUUCAUUCUUUACUUACAAUCUAUAGCUAGAUAAGCUGGUAAAGGAAGUGAACCAAUUUUCAGUUAAUGACACUAAAACAAGACUGAGCCAAAAACAUAAAAGUUGUGCUUAGUCUUGAAUUUUUAUAAAAUUGAUUCAGAUAGUCUGACCUAAGCAUUGCUAUUAACAUAGCUGAAUUCAAGGAGCAUAUAUUCAAAGCAAACUUUGAUAUUGAAACUAAAUUAAAAUUGAUUUUGUAAUGGGAAAGCCUUGCAUUCCCUCCUUAGUUAAAAAUCUCACUUCAUACUAAGUAGUCUGGGUUUGACAAGUCAAGGAAAUAAAAUCAGUUAUUUGGGAUGGCAGGCAAGAUCAUCAUGAAGGAGAACUGUGUGGACACAAGAUUAUUGAUAACAAUAAAAAAAUGUAUCACACACAACAUACCAUUCUUUCCUUUGCAGUUGUGCCAUUGCUAGGCAACUGAAAAUGGAUGAGUAGAUUUUAGCUGUAUAUCUAUACCCUUCAUUUGGAGAAUCAUGAAAGGGACUUCUGAAAAACAAACAUCAUGUUUCUGAUCAGGAUCCAAUAUGGCUUUACUGCUACUGAGGACUAGAAAAUGUAUUAUUUCCAAUACUAUAAAUUUUGUUGAUAAACAUCACAGUAUACUUGUAAGACUUUUAAAACAAUGCAGCUUUCUGUUUAGUAACAGAAUAUUUUCUUAAGCAGAUUUUUAUGCUCUCAUUUUUUAUUCACCAUAUUGUAGUAUACAAGUUGUGUAUCCUAUACUUCAUGAAAUCACCAUUGGUGAGUAGAGAGCAUAGUUACUCAGCACUUAAGUUAAAAGUACUCAUAAAAUUUACUUCAGUUGGGACUGUUUGUAUUUCUAACAGGUGGUAACUCUUUUUGCUUAAGUAGGUAACUUAAUGACUUCUCUGUCAUUUAAGAUCUACUGCCAUUCAACACUCAUUACCUUUAAUACAUGCUUUAGCAAACAUUUAACUUCUUAGUUUUAACACUGUUGCAACAGUAAGGGAAGAAUGACUGCUACCAUAACGUUGGCAGUGGUUGAUAAUUUACACUUCCUCUAUAGCCUACUACCCCUUAAUAAAUAAAUAAAUAAAAAUAAAAGAAAGAAAUAAAGAGAGAAAUAAAAAAAAAAAAAAGGAAAGAGAAAGGAAAAAAAAAUCCACUCCCUUGAUAAUUAGUACCCUUUGUCAAAGCUUCAGUUACAAUUUGACGAGAAAAUAUUCCUAAAUGUCAAGAACCAUGCAGUCUGAUAAAUAUGGAUGACAUUUAAAAAGCAGAGGAGGUAGUUCUACAGAAGCAGAAGAAGCAAAAAGAAAUGCAAUAUGUAUUUACGGAAAGAAACAGUUUUUCCACCAUGUAUUCUCCUCAUAUAUUGACUGUUUUGUACUCCUGGUUCUUCUUUUCAAGAGCACUGUGAAGCUUUUGUCUCAUAUCAAAUGCCUUAGCUGCAUUUCUUCAUUAUAAAACAGCACAUUUCAACAGCCCAGGUCUUUCCACUUGUAAUCACUCAGUAUAAUUGAUUGAGAAGAUAGAGUCAGAGAAUCCUCCAAAUAUUUUAAUUCUUCAGAGUUGUUUAAAUUUAGCAAAAAAUGACACCCUGAGAAAAUGAAAUGGCACGUACUCAGAAAUUGCUAACUGUGAUAUAGAUCAAUCACAGCCCUUGGUGAUUACUCUUUAAACAAGUCUGUCUCACAAGCAGAUUCAAAGGAAUUGACCUUCUGAAUGUUAACAAACAGAAGGCAAGAUUCUCCACUUCUGACAACUUUAAAAUCUCUCUUGUUGGAAAAUCUGAAAGACAAAGCGUUUUUAGCAGGUGGAAUUAGAGAACUACGUUCUCCAUAUUUACCACUCUAGGGGUACAGGUAUUUUCAUUACUAAAGCCUUUGUUGGAACAAGACUCAUUAAGAAAGCUAUAAAAGAAUGGAAUAUUAUCGUGUAAUGAACACCUAAUUGAAAACUAAUGUGCAAUGAGAAAGAAAUAAACUUUGUGACGAUAGGAUUAGAAAUGUGUCUGACUACAAUGGCAGUAUUUGUAAGAUAGGAUGACAUGAAUUCAUCAUCUUCACUUCCAGAUCUAACAACCUCUCUGAUCUGAGAGCAUCAAGAAUGUAAAUGCAGUUAAACAACAAUUCCCCAUCUUAAACAACCAGCACUGAGAUUGUGCAGGUACUCCACCACUGUACUACUAUAGUUGCUUGGGUUUACUUGGGCAAUGGUAGUAGAAAAAAACAUAUCCUAUCCACUGUGUUAACUGUGAAGUAGAUGAACCAUACUUCCGGCUGGGUGUCUGAACUCUGUGAGGUUCCCUACUCUCUGAGCUACUCAACUAAGGCUACUUUUCUCAAACUUCUCAAACUGAACAAAAACCAUCCUGUAACACUGCGAAAAUGUGGUGGGAAAUUUUUCCCUGAAUCAAUUUCAUGAAGUUCCUAACUAUGUUUGACGUGUUUGUGAGGAUAAGAUUUAAAAAAAUACAUUUAUUUCAUAGUUAAUUUGAAUAUCAAACAAUGUAAAAUAAAUCUUGCUCAAAUUACUGUGUUAAUGAGUCUUGACCUUUAUUUUAAACUGACACAGCUUUCAGAUGAAGGCAGUAGUGUAAAGAACAGUUAUCACAAAUAUCAAAAUACGCUUACAUUUUCAUAUAUGAUCCACCUACCAAGAGUUUACUUAAUAAUCUUAAAGCUGAUGCAUAGCUCAUUAAAAUUGCUGCCCUUCAACCAUCUCUAAGACCUCCAUUGGUCUGAUGCACUAUCUCAAGUAUAUCUCCAACACCAUAUAGUUGGAAUCUCCAGUAUUUUGCACAGGAAAAUUACUGUGGUAUCGAUUCCAGAGUAACAAGAGACCCUCACAAAAAAUAUGUGGGAGAUUUACUGAGUGAACCAUUUCUGUACUCACAGACAGUUCAAUACAAUUUUUAAGGCAAUUUUUUUUUUCAUGCUCUUGCAAGUAUGAAGUUGGCCUGAAAACUUUUCCAUUGAUGCAUAUUGAAGGAAAGUAAGAGCCAUAGACUGUAGCAUUGCAGUGCUUCUCUGGUUUACAAGAGUGUUACAGUCUGGCCUCUGACAGAAAGGUAAUGCUUUAUUGGCAAAUAUUACUUAAAGGAGGAAUUUGUGUAUGAACACUGUAGUGGAAUACCAGGGUCACAGCCUGAACCAAUGGAUGGGCUACAUGAGUGUGUGGGUAUCUGGAGCGGGGUCUGGAGCCACCCCUUCUGUCUCUGCAAUACUUCCUGUGCAGUUUGAGUCUGCGCGGGUCCCCCUUUUGCUCCUGCCCCUCUCUCCAGCGGUGCGAUGGUACAAACGGAGGAGGCUCACUUUCCUCAGCUCAUCCCUCUCUCCACACUGUUACCGGGAGGGGUGAGUCAAUUCCUUUUUGAUAUCUUUUCCUCUAGUGCCUAUUUCUUAAAUAAAGGCUCUGUCAUUGCCUUCACUUGUUCUACAGCCACUGAAAAAAAAUGCACAGAACCCUGCAAAAUAAAGUGUAUUCAUACGUAUGCAUAUUUCUCUAACUGAUAAAUAAGGGAGAACAUGUAGAAAGAGAAAAAAAAAAACGUGUAGUACUGAGUUUUUUUAAAGACACAGAUCUUCAAGCCCUCUCAAAAGUGCUGCAUCCAACCUUAUCACUGAUAAAACAUAACAGUUCUGCUGCUGAUUUUCUGGUGUUCAGAACUGUGACUUUUUUUUUACAAUAUCUGCUAUGUCAUCACUUGCACUAUGAGAGUGUCCCCAGAUUUGAACACAGGCCACUGGUUUCAACACCUCUCCUAAUUAUUAUUUAUUUCUAUGCAUGGUGAAACCAUGGAGAGCCUUGCCACUGCUUUCAGGGGGACGAAUCUUUGGCCUUUUGUGACCAACUACCUCUGCCCUGCAGUUAAGUAACGCAUCUACACAUUAAGAUCAAUGUUUUCAUGUUCAUACACUGUAUGGCUAAACUAGAAAGAAAAAUUUUAUAUUAUCUGUUUAAAGACUCAGUGACACAUAUACAUUUAUACAUAGCUGCAGAAACUGUCCAUAAGCCAUGUGAUAUUCUCUCUAUACUGUAUUUUAAAUCACAACCUUUUUUAUCUGCUCUGCCCUUGCAUAGCUUGCUGUGUUAGUUGUGGGCUGUUUUUUAUUUUGUUGUUGAUUUCUCAAAUGAGCUUUCCUUCUCGCACUGGACUAUUUGAUAUGCACAGCACAGCAGUACUUUUAACUAGAAUGGUAGUUAUACAGAGGGAAAUGUGUUGUCAUUUCUCCUCCUUCUGGGAGUGUUUUGCAAAAAUCUCUUUUCACAAAAAAAUUCAUUGUGUCUUCUUAUGGGUGACAGAAUUCAAGUAGCAAAAGACUAGUCAGAAGGUUAUUUAAAAUCUAAUCCCUUUGUUUAAAUACUCAUAUCCAUUAAAAAGAAAAAAAUAUAUAAUACAUUUUAAAAAAUUAAUAAAAUCUAAACUUUCAGAUGCAGUACGUGCUUUUCAUAAAACCAUGUAUUUGAGAUUGAAAGCCAUUUGAUUUUUUUUUUUUUUUUUUUUUUUUUUGGUGACAUUGUCAUCUUUUUCUAUGGCAAAUGUAAGAAUAUCUUUGUUUUCAGGAAUAGUACUUCAGCAUGAACUUUGAAUCCCAACCCCCCGACCAUCAGCUUCUUCUAAGAUUAGCUGAGUGCAUUGGGUCUAUUUAACCAUUAGCUUUUAUUGAAGGAUAGAUGAAUAUCAGUCCCUGAAGAAUAGUGAAUUAGCUACUGCCUUGUAGCCAAGCAUUUUCUCUUUUCAUUCUACAAUAGGUCUGCUAUAAGCACAGCUUUUCAUAAUGCAACUAGCAAGUAAAGUGGCAGGUCUGAAGAAAAAAAUGGAAAUCUUUUGGAAAAAGAGAGUCUAACUUGCAAGGGCUCUUGCUUUCAUUUUAGUAAUCUUAGAUAGAGGUGAUCUUUCCAGAAUAGACUUUUAAGAUAAUAGGAUUUGACUGAUGCUUAGCUGAUCCAAAAAUAUUCUAGUAUUAAACAACAUAUGCUGAAUAGUAUAUAGAAAAGUGAUAAAAUCUUCGUAAAGAAGGAAGUGAAAUAUAAAAUAUAGCCACAUGAAGCCCCAAGCAAAGAAGAAGAAAAACUAAAUAAAUAAUAUUUAUGGUAGAGGGAGUUACGAAUUUCUAUUGAUGUAUCUGUGUUUAUCCUUAUGCUUAUUUUCCUUUAUUCCCAGGGAAUUAAUCUCUUAUUCUUUCCCUCCAUAUGAGGCCAACAGAAAUUAUAUCAGUUUAAGAAGCAGAUGAAUCAAAAUUACUAUUUUUUCUUCCCUUAUUUGAAAAUAUCUAUGUUUAUUUUGCAAGCAUUAAAAACAUAUUACAUUCUAUUUUCAUUUAAAGCUCACACAGGUCCUGGAUUUCUUUCUUUUAAAUUUAAAAGGAUGUUCCUGACAAGCCAACAGAAAUACAUCUCCAUGUUUUCUUCAACACAGAUCUAGAAACAGGGAGGAAAGGACCUACAGAUGCUAAUACCGCAGGCCCUUAAAAUCAUGGUACUGAAAACCUUAGAGACAGCCAACACGUUGUACAGGUAGAAAAAUACAGUGAUUUGGACAUUACAAAUUCUUUCUCUCUCUCUUAAGAAUCAAGGAACCUUUGAAUCUAGGAACUUUGUAUUUUAGUGGUGAAGGGCACUGGAGAAAUGAAAAACACACCCAAAAACAAACAAACAAAGAAACAAUGAACAAAGAAACCCAAAAUGAAGACUUUAAAGGCAAGGCUGGAUGAAGCCCUGAGCAACCUGAUUUAACUGUGCAUGCCCCUGUUCACUGCAGGGGAGUUGGACUAGAAGACCUUUAAAGGACCCUUCCAACUCUAAGGAUUCUAUGACUCCAUAAUUCUGUGAUUGCAUUUGAAGCAAAGAAGUACAAAACAGCCUCGGGAAAAUACUGGAGGACAUUUUCUCAGGCUCCAUCAAUGAUGAGAGAAGUGAUAACAUCCCAUUAAUGGGAAAAAGAGAAAAAGGAAGGAAGAGGAAAAAGGAAGGAAGGAAAAAUGACUUAUGUCCUGGGUUUGUUUCUCCAGCAAUUUGUUACAAGUGGAAAACUAUAGAUUUUCAUAACAAAAUCUGUCAGUGUAACAACAUUUAAAAAUUCAUCAUGCAGAUCCAAAAGACAGAGAGAGUGAUGGUUCAGGUGAUGUGCCCUGGGAUCUUGAAAGGUAAGCCAUGUACCACCAGAACUCCCUGUGGUCCUCUAUGAACUUCCAAUUUUCAUCUCAUUUUCUUUACAUAUUCAUGACACUCCUGCCUUCACCUCUGCUGAUUGCUCCAUUCUUUCCUAAACAUUCAUUAGAGAAAGGCUUUGGAGAGUUAAGCUAAAUAUGAAGCAAGAAAGCACAAUGAUUGUGGGAAAGAGGGAGAUGAGGAGGUAUGUCCUGAGAUGCUCUAGGAAGCAACUAGGUCCUACUCAGAAGCUGCGCCAUCUCACUCAGGGCACCUAGUAUCUCACAGAGCGUGGUAGCCCUCAUCCCACACCUGAACAGCAUCUCUGAAGAAAACAUUGUGGGGAGUCAUAAAAAUACAGAGGAUUCAGAAUGGACUGAGGCAUGUGUCUAACAGAUAGUACAGAGGCAUCCAUUGCAUUGCCUCCUAAGUCUAACUCUUCCAUGCACUGAAAGCAGAAAAUCUUUCUAAGGUCUAAGGACAGGACUGACAUAUCAAACACUAUAGCAAUAGAUCAGCCUAAGCCUUUCUCCAAUUAAUGUUUAGGAUAGAACUGCUUUGUAAGUGAAAGAAAUAUGAAGUUAUCUACAGUACAAGAUUGAAAGAUAACAGUUGAAUAAUAGGGAUAAGCAGUAUUACUACUUGGGAAUUAAUAGUACUACGUGGGAAUGAGGAAACUUUGAUUAAAAAAUAAAUUAGUACUUUCCAAAAUUGAUUUAUGUUGCCUUGUGAUUGAUUAAAAUGGACAACAAAUGAAAUACAAAUUCUCUGGACACUGAUGCUGUGAUUUUGGUUGCUUCUGAGUGCCCUGAUCUUGGCCAGAAAGCUGUAGUUGAGCCUCACACCCCUAAGAGCUUCAAGGUCUAUUCACUUCACCUUCAUGGAUAAUUAAAAGUUACUAAGCCAUGAAAUGUGAACACAUUCAAGAUAGAAAGUUUCAUUUCAAACUAUGGCACUAAAAGCUAAGAAUAUGCAGCAGAUGUGCUCAAUAAUACAUAUUUUCUUUUUCAUGUUAGAGCAACAUCACCACCUUGCAUGUAUGCAUGUUUCAGCUUGAAAAAAAAAUUUCAAAGACACUAAAGACUAGAGAUAGAAAUGCAGUAGAUUGAUGUAGAGACUGCUACCUUAAGAAAAGUAAGACAAUAUGCUAACCUAUUCCUUUGCAUAUUUGGUAGUAGCUCCAUAACACAGCAGCUAAAUAGUGACAGUAACACUCCUAGUGACAUCUGGCUCCUUGAAAGGUUUCCCUGGCAGCUCUGGAGUUUUCUCUAAUUUUAUCACAUGGUUAAUUUGUUGAUGAAAAGUCUGCAGCCCCAUACUACUUGAUAAAACAGUAUAAAACACUGGGGGCAUGUAGAAUUUUUGGAGUUGUAUCAUAUCCCUUUGUCCAGUAUGGCCAACAUUUCUCAGUUUCACUGCAUGCUGGAAAACAUUGUUUAAGCGCAGCAUGUUGUUCCCCUACCUGGAGGCAUUUGAGGCCAGGUUGGAGGGGACUUAGAGCAACACGGUCUAGAGAAAGGUGUCCCUGCCUAUAGCAGGGGGUUGGAACUAGGUGAUCUUGAAGGUCCUUUCCAACUCAAACCAUUCUAUGAUUCUACAUCCCAGAUUUGUGAUUAAAUAUAGGCAAUUCUUUUAUAAGUACACCUUGGCUGUAUGCACCACUUUCCUCAUCCGUGAAUUGCUCCAAAGCCAGGACUUUUGUCUGAGAGCUCUGCUGUAGAAAGUACUGCCUGUGCAUCAUAAUGGAAAAGCUUAGAGGGACUAGAUUGCAGAGCAUCUAGAACAAUCAAGUGGCUGCAAAGGAACUAACUACUAUAUUGGUAACUUCACAAGGUGCUGAGUUAAUCAAAAAGGUAUGUACUAUGGUUACUACCAUAAGUAAAUUUACUCUUUUCUGUAUUGUAUUCUUCAGCAAACACAGUUUGUGACUUUCCCAUCUAUUUAGAUAAAAAAAACAAAAACAACAUUAUUUCCUCAUGCAGGAGCCACGGGCCACUUUUAUCACAUUUUGCCUGAAAUUUCUCCAUUCUUUGCCAGCUUUGAUGAACUUCAUUCAUCCUAUGGGCGGUGAGAAAGCGAUCUCCUUGCAGCACUUUCUGGCUGUUUGUAUGCCUGAGAUUCCCUCCCAGCACUUACAAACUGCUUCAGCUUCUUUCGUGUUUUCUAGGUCAGUUGCUUUGAAUGCUCGAUCCUAGCCUUAGGACUGUAAAGAUUAAGCACUGCAAGCUUAGAAGCAGCCAGGUAGGGAUACCAGCCAAUUCUGGCUCUCACUAAGGAGCUUAAUAUCUCUAUCUUUUUUUUCUUUUCAUUUUUUAUUUUCUCCUUACUGCUUGCUGUAAAAAUCCUCAUUUGAUUAUCCCUCUGCCAUCAGGCAAGAUACAAUCGUACUGAUAAACACAGUGUUUGGCAUAAAAUACUGAAGCCCCUGAAGCCAGUGAUUUGGAAUAGGAAUACUAACACUACCUAUGCUGUGGGCAGGUUUUAGUACAUAUGUUUGUAAAUCAUAUUUCUUUUGAAUGCAGAUUAUCUCUCCUAGAAACUUACAUAGAUUCCAUUCUGUUGCUAUGCAGACUGCAAAGCCUGUAUACUUUCAAAACAUGGAAGGAAUUUUGUAAUUUUCUACCCAGUACACAGCUUAUACCUGUAGCCCAACAUACAGCAGGAGAACAAUCUGAAAAUAAACUCAAUUAUUUUAAAAGUAAGAGCUAGAGCAAGUCAUUCAAAUUAAACCACCUUUUCUGCUGAGGUAAGACUAUUGACCUGCUUACAGAUUACUUCCAAGAAACAACAGCUUGAAUCAGGAAGUAGACACUCCUCACAACAGUAGUAUUUACUCUUAAAAUCUGCCUCAUUGAAGGGAUGGCCUAGAGCAAGAGUAUCCAACAUUUUGGCCACACUGAGUAAAGAGAAAUGUCUUGAGCUGCAUAUAAGCUAUGUAAUACAGUUAAUGUAUAGCAGUAACAAAACUUAUUUUUUUAAUGUAUUUUUUACUACAACAUCAGAAAAAGAGGGCAGUAAAAAGAUUAAACUGUUGGGAGACCUAACCUUGUUUUUGUGAAACAUGAAUCAAAAACACAUCACAGAACUAGUUAAAAACAUGUUGCAAAUUACUUUAUACUUUUUAUGAGCCUUUUGAGAUGUUGAAAAUUACAAAAUUUGUCUAUUGUGAACUGUUAGCUUAUUAAAUUAUUUUAUGAAAUAGCAGAAGCCCAAGUUUAAUCAUUAAAUAAGAAAGCUUUCAUGUGUACUUAGUAACAAAAAACUCGUGUCUUCACAGGUACAUGCAUGUGUAGGUAGGUUUAAGUACUAUUAUUUGUAAUCACUGCAUUUUACUCUGCCAGUGGCUCAAGUGCAGGUAACGUGUAACACUCAAGGGUUUCGAUUUGACUGAGUGCAUAUGAUGGCUUGAGAGGCAGACUUAGGAGCGUACUACCCCUCCCCUACACAGUGUUCUGAUGUAGCCUACCCAGUCCACACUCAAGCUGUACACAAUCAACUCAUAAAGAAUAUUGCUAUAAUCACAAAAUAAUGUUAAAAAUUUGCAAUCUCUCCAGGGCCACAUGUGGCUCAUGGGCCAUAGGUUGGACACGCCAGGCCUAGAGCAUUGUAUUCACACAGCUAGGGAUGCAGAUUCAUGAGGCUUAGAAGCUGAUAUUUGUACCAACCAAUGUGGUGGCACCUAUUGAAAUACAGACGGGGAAAACACGGGUAGGCAAGUUAGUUUUCAUUCUGCCCUGUGAGAUAAAGGCUGUAGGAAAUGUUGCUCAUCAAUUAGUGUUUGCAUCGAAAAGCAGCAUCUGAUACAGAGCUGUCUUUGGGACUGUGCUCCAUAAAUUAACUUAUGCAAGAUAAAUCCAUGCAUAUUUGCUAGCUUUGAUAAAACUCACAUAUUGAUGAACAUCUUUUAGAAGUGAUAGUUCAAAAUUGAGACUUUACAAUAGUUUAAUUAUAUCUGCUUCCUACUCAUCCCCCAGAUCUAUGCAAAACAGUGCCAUUAAUUACUCUGCCCAAUGAGAUUACUAACAAGGUCACUGAUUGAUAACAGAGACUCAGUGUAAGCUGUGAAGUCUGAAACAUCAUUUCAAAUAAGAUCAGAAAGGCUUUGUCACUCAGUACUUUCAGGUCACUCUCAGUCACUUUUCUUUGCCAGUGUAUUUAUUCUUCUUCACACCACAAAAGUUUUGGUAAUGUAAGAGAUUAAGAAAUGUUUCAGUAAUAUAAGGCACUCAAAUCACCCAAACCAGAAAGCAGUUUCAUGAGCUCCCUUUCUAAAACAUAGAUACUUCUUCAUUCGGCACAGUUCCAACUGAUAUGUUCUAAUCUUUAGUAUAAAAAUCAGAUUUUUCUAUUUGGAAACUUAUAUUUAUUGUAUCUAUUUGGAAAUAUAUAUAUAUAUAUGUGUAUAUAUAUAAAAAAUUCAAUAACAUUCUUGUUGGAAACUAAAAUUGAAAUGUGCAUUUAAAUUUUUAAUUCUAGCAUACAGGAAUAUAUUCUCCUCACAGAAGACACUACAGUUAUUUCACAGGUUGUGAAAACCAAUGAAGCACUCUAGCUACAGACUUCGUCGGACCAAUGGAAUAGGAGAAACACUCAAAUGGAACAUGUCACUCUGACUUUUUAUAAGGAAAUAGAUGAAAGUUAAGAUUAGGACUAUCCUUAAAAUCCUAGCUUGAUUGGCACUCUUUAUUUUCUUGAUCCAAGGAGAAUACCCUUGUUAAAGUGGCAGAGAUAUACUGUGCCAAGUUCCACGUUCCACAUAUUUCCGUCUUCGCAACAUUCCAUGUCCAGCAUGAAGGGCUCUUGCAGGACUGGGAAUACCAGUACAUACCACCCAUGUUCAUGGCCUGACAAUUGUGUUCAGGCUGAACUGCUGCACAAACCCCCUUUUGAUUCUUGUGCUGAUCUCUUGGUGGGAGAUUAGUGAUAUUUUUUGAGCUGAAGGAGAUGCCUGUAGGGUUAGACAGUAUUGAAACGUAGGUAGUACAAAAUACCUUCUGGACUUAAUCUGAACCCUACAUACAGAGUAGAUAGCACUCAAGAUGUGGCCUUCAAUUUUUUGGAACUGAGUUUUAUAUUCAACUAGUGACAUUAAUAUAUAGCUAUGAGGGCAGUAAUUUUAAUUAAAAUAUAACUCUUAUCAACAAUCACUUUCAGGUACACAUCAACAGCAUCCAUCAAUAAUUUGUAAUUAGUCUUCCUGUCAGCUAAUUGCCACAUAGCUCUCAAUCUAAAAAAUAAGCAGAUUCAUGAGAACAUGAAUGUUGCAGGAUGUCAGCUAACAAGCAUCUAUGGAAACGGGAAAAAGAUUCACUGAAGCAGCUCUGUAAAUGGUUAUGAACGCAACAAUUUGGGGAAGCAAUUUUGUUGAAAUAAGUGGGACAAUUGAGUAUUAUCAGUAUAGAAACCUCAUUGGAUGUCCAUCAUCCUCUGGCCAAGGCUUGAUGGCACUAUCUGACAGCAAAGUGGCUUAGAAUGCAGCAUUUCUGGAAUACCUCUUGACAAGCUUUAGGGGUCUCUCUACCUACCAUUCCAAAAGAUAUGCCUAUGUUCCAAACCAUCGAUUUUACUUUGGUUCUGUUUAAUUCUUUUCUCCAUUGAUUGCAGUCUUAGUGACUCAUGCUAAAGAAGUGGAGUGCUUUGCAAUCAAAAUACAGAACCUUAAAAAGGUCAGAAUUAGUUUCGCACAUUACAAUAAUUUCCAAGAUUGCAUUAAAACUCCAAAUUCUGAUGCCCUACUCAGUGAAAAAAAAAAUGAUACUAAAUGUAAAAUGCACAACAGGAUUUCACUCUCUUGAUAAGAGGCCAUAAAAGAUCGGCAAAUGAUCCCAUAAUUAUAGAGUGAAAUAUAACACAGACUUUUAUGUAACAGAGCAUUACACUGGGAAAGCCAGUCAUUUAAAACUAAAGAAAUAACGUUAGAGUUAUGUUCCUGCAUGGCCCUGGGGAAACAUGCUCUAAUUGACCCUGCUCUGAGCAGUGGGGGUGGACUAGAUGAUCUCCCUUCUGACCUCAGCUGUUCAGAGAGUUUGUGAUUCCUUCAGAGAUACCUCUUACACACCGAUAGUAUAUAUUCAGGCAUAAUUACAAUGUCUCAUGAUAUUAUUUUCCACAAGAACCCUGACCUGUUCAGAGACUGAUCUAAAGCUUAGUGAAAGCCACAGGAGUUCUUGCAAUGGACUUCAGUGUGGUUUAGAUGAAAUCCAAUUUCAUAUGGUGGAUGAAAUCUCCUAAAUGAGAGAGGAGGACUGGCUCUUUCCUUGAGUUGAUAAUCAUCAUCACAGCAGCACAGGGCACGACAGCAAGGAGAACAGUUGCUACUGACACAAAUUAUAUUUAAUAUCAAUGGACAGAGCAUUAUGCAAAAUCUAAUUACUACUUAACCAAUAUACUAAAAAGGUGGUUUUAUUCACUGUUCACUAAGUGAAGGCCUGCAUAAAUAUUACAUAUAAAAUACAGGUAUGAUGUGAUCUGUUCAUUUUAGUCCACGUUUGUUCUAAAUUAUUUCAGUACCCCUUUGAAACAAUUUCUUUACCUUCAACUGAGCUAUCCCAAAUUUAUGAGGAUCUGAAUGCAACAAGACUGGGCCCACAGUCAGACAGAAAACGACCAGGCUUGUACUUGUCAUGGCAACUGAGAACGUAAUAAACAUGAAAUUUUCUCCUGGGAAGGUGUUUAAAGGUUUGCAGUGCUUUGAGCUACCAUAAUGUCAUUCAAAACUGAAAAACUUUAUGGUGACUGACUGUAAUGACUCUGGGAAAAUAGUGAAUAUUAGGUAUUUCUUCUUUGAAAGCUACAUAGUUUUUUUUUCUCCUUUUUGAUUAUUUUGCUUACAUGAAAGUUCUUCUCCGCAUCUCAUACAACAUCUGCUGAGACUUUUGAGAGCUAGCUCUUCGAACGGUGAGUGGUGUUUUGUGAAAUUAUGCUUCUCUAUCAGUUUGUCUUUCUGUAAAACACUCCAGGAAACUAGAUGCAAUUACUCAGUCUUGAAAAAAUACUCUGCACUGCAGAAAGCAUAGUAUACCUUCUGGAUUUGAGUUUGGUUAAUUAGCUUUCUUCUUUUGGCUAUAAAGACAUUUUCUAGAAAGCCUGAGAGAAGUUACUGAACACCUGAUAGAAGAAAGCACCUUAGAUUGCCUCAUGUUCAUCUCCUUCUGUUUCCUGUUAUUUACUACAUUUAUUAAUUCAGUUUAUCUCAGCUCAAGUAUGAGUUCUUGGCAGAAAGACUACUAAUUUGUCCUGUAACUUUACAGUCAAAAGCAACAGACUUUCAAACCCUCAUUGUGGCAGCUAUGCAGAAUGGAUUUGUAGCAGCAGUAGUAGCUACUGGUGAGCGCCUCUUGUGUGAAAAGUAUUUCCCAAGUUCAUCAACCAAAUAAACUGGUCAUUACAAAGCUUUCAUAAAUGUACUAAGUACCACAUAGAUGCAACAAAAGUACAGACACAGGUACAAUUUUUAAGUUUUCAUAAUGUAAGAAAGCUCUGCAUCUUCUGGUAGAGACUCCAUCUAUUUUUUCUUGAGAAAGAAUACGAGCUUUUAUCUCCACAAUAUCAGGAAUCUAGAAGUUAUCAAAGUUUUAAAGAUAAUGGUCUGUUAUCUGUAGGGAGUAAAUUUUACUUUUGUUUUGUUGAACAGCACAUACAUACCAAUACAUUAUAUAACUGAAAAUUUCUGACCAGAAGUAUAAAACUCGGUAGUUUAUCUUUUGGGGAAAGAGGAAAUUAUAUAAAAAUGGAACUCCCUCAGUAACAAACUAAAAUUGUACCACAUUUUAUUUUGAUGACAUAUUGUGUUAUUUCAGUUACCUUUUCACCUUAUCUUCCUAGUGGAACAAUUGUCUUUGGAAGACUAAGCCAUUUAAUGAAAAACAAGGAACAAAGGAACUCAGCCAGGAGAUAGUUCAGAGUCAGGGAAAAAAAUAAACAAAGAAUGGCAUUUUUAGUAAACAACACACAGUGAAAUGUAGUAAUACACAUAAUAUAUAUGGUUUAUAUAAUGCACAUACUGUAUAACUUUAUCAUGUUAAUAUUUUUAUAUUAUUUGUAUAAGUUAUAGAUAUCUGUGAAAGAUAGAAGGUAUGAAGUAGAUUCAAUCUUGAAAGAAUUUUGCUAAGAAGCAGAGUUCUUCAAUGAAAAAAAGGAGGUGGAGGGCAGGAAGUUGGAGCCAGUGAGGCAUGAUAGAGUCCUACUUUCCUGCAACAGUGUGUUAUGAUGUCCUAUGCUGUUUAGUCAUUGGUUUAGUUAAGCAGCUGACUGAAUAUGAUUUAUGUAAUCAGUAGCAAAAAAAGACAUUAUUCUGCCACAUCAUCUCCUUUACAUAACCAGCCAAAUUUGGUGCAAGGAUGACUUGUGAAUUAUUGGCUUACCCCCCAGGAAUGGUACGGAUUUCUGAUGAUCCUGGCUGCUUGAAAUUCUUUUACUUCCAUGUUAUGCUAUAAAGUUCAGGUCAGAAUAAGUGCUUUGUCUAAAACAGGCUCAUAUAUGUCAUUCCUGAAUAGAAAAUAACUCAGAAAGCAUAACUAGGAGUCAAGGAUCACAACCUGCUAUUACACUGGGAUACUGCAUCCCCUACCUUUUCCCUCCCUCACUUUUGUUUGAUGAAAGUAUACUACUCCUAGCAAGAUUGAUAUCUUCUUCCUGUGAAGGAUUUCCAUGCAUUUGGUCUGCUCCUUCUGGUUUUCUCGUGAUAGUAUCGAGCCUCAUGAGAAAAUGGCAGCAUUCAAUUGUUACUGUGUAUACUUGGUGUACUAAUUUCUAGGCCUACCAUGAGAGUGGCUGAACUAGUAACGGUAUGUAUGAUGCUAAUGAGCCUGAAAUUGUUUUUCUUGAAGCUCCAGCAACUCUGUACCUUAUUUUUAGAAAUGUGUGGGAAGUCCUUAUCUUUAGUAUCAUCAGACUGUAGGUCUUUCAGCUAAUAUAUCAUAUGUAACUGUUUCAUAGAAUUUAUGGUAAUAGAGGAAAAUGGAAUAUAGAAAACAACAGACUGUCAAAACAAUUGGUCAAUAUUCAUGCUUGCUUUGUUCUUCCUGUACUAAAGGGAGUUUUGUAAGACUGGGAGACCAGCUAAAUGAUUGUGGGUAUAUUGUUCAUUUCUCCACAUCGUGCCUUUCUUACUUGUUUCAUUACACAAAGAAGAUAAAAAUUAAUUGAAUGUUUCCAACAUGCAAAAUUCAAGAACUUAAAAACCUUACAGAGAAAGAAAAAAAAAGGAAAAAUGUGCUUCAAAUGGGAUGUUUACCUGUGUUUACAUCUUCAAUUGCUGAGCCAUUGCCACUACUGUCUGCAGCAGGAAUCAUCUACUAACUGUAUAUUAUAACUGAGUAUAUCUGAACCCCUCCAAGACCAGUUUUGACUCAUUCAGUACAUGUCACAAGUAAGCAUAAAGGCUCUUUUGGUUAUCACUGUUUUGAUUUCCAAAGAUUCCCUAAUUUUCAAAUUAGUUAACAGAGUAAUUGAAUGUUAAUGUACUUCAGCAUGUAUAUGAAAUAUAGUUCUGAUUAAUCAUUCAGAAGAAACAUAAGGAAGAAGACUUAGCUUGUCUGUUCCGCUUGCAGGCACAAUCUAAUCCUAAUAUAUCAACAAGACAGAACUCACAAGCUUAGUCAUGGUUGUUCCCAAAGUUUAAGGGGUACACGAGAUGAACAGCAGUUUUCCAAGGAACAAACUGUCGUAGGUCUGUGACAUUUAGGUAGCAACAUGAAUGUUCAGAAUCAGCAUGGUACAGAAUUCAGUACAAGUUAUAUACCAGUAAAGAUACCCAGGUCUUGAAUCUAAAAUUUGAGGACUCUAAUGAUUAUAAACAACAUCUUGCUGCUGUCUUUCAUAUAACAGGUUCUAAACUGUAGAAAGAUUUAAGUUGGAAGAGACCAAAUUCAACUCUGCUACUGCUCUCAGAGCAGAGAGAACCUAUGUCAGCUUGGUCAGGUCCUUACUCGGUUGAGUUCUGAAUAUUUCCAAAGGUGGAGAUCAUAAAAGUUUUCUGGACAAAUUGUUCUGGUGUUUGAUCAAGCCUCACUGUCAUUUUUCUUUUCCUAGCACCUAAACAUAGACACAUUUCUAUUAUUUCUUGUCUCUUUGUGUUUCAGCAACAAAGACACAAUAUCAGAUGAAAGUUACACUUUUUUUUCCCCCUCCAUGUCACUUCUUUCAAACAUUAGAAAACUAUGACUCAUUAUAGGGGAAAUAUUUAAUACAAGACGUGAAAUUACCAAAGCUACCAAGGAAAGGAAAAGUUCCCAGGACAAUUGGAAAUAGGGAUGCCACUAAAUCCAAUUCUGUGAAUUCAGGAAAGAAAUACACUUUCCCUAGGAGCAAAUGGGUUUCAGCAAUUUUUUUUGCUCACGAUCCUAACAGAAAUACAAAAAAUAUUCAAAAUACUGAAGCUUUCGUAACAAAUCCACAUGUACCACAAGUGACAGUUCAAAACUGGACUGUGUCAGGUACAUGGUUUCAGUUUUCACCACAGUCUGCUGAUUACUCAGCUUUAUCUGCCACAAACCAGCUAUCAGUAAGGAGACCACUGAAGAUGGUUUAACAACAAUUUUGGUUGCCCAAGCAAAUGAAGGGUCAUUUAAAAAAAAAAAAGUAAAAAAAAAAUCAAUUACAACUACUUCUGUAGUUCCAAUAGAGAAAACUGACAGCAAAUACACUUUAUUUUUUCUAUGUCUUUGUGGCUUUGAACUGGGUGACUCACCUGACAUAUGAGUUUACAAGAACACAGGGGCAAACAGACAAUCCAAGCUUAGAAAUAUUGCAAAAAUUAUUUGUUCAUGACUGAGUACAAUUCAUUAUAGCUUUUCUAGGUUAGGAAUUUAUUCAUGUUCAUUGAAAUCCUGUAAUAAUGCAAAUGUUUUAGUGUCAUAAAUACAUUUGUUCACAUCUUAGCUGAAGAGAAAUAAAUGAGUUACCCUAAUCCAAACUUGGUGUUUGUAGUUGUAAAAUUAAAAAUUGCAGUGCCUGACCUUCAGUCACAUACAAUUGGAAAACAUCAAGAUUUAAACUGGCUUUUCUUAUGACUUUGUGCAACCUUAACUCUCUUUUAGGUUUCUCCAUUGAAAUCCUCAAAUGUCUGAGGACUGUAAAAAUAAAAAUCUAUGUAAACAGAGUCAAUUUGUUAUUAAUUUCUUUCAAGAAGUGGAUGCAUUUGUCAAAGUGUCUUGCAGGUUAAGGACUAUAUUUACCACCACAUCAAAACUCUCCACCGUAGGAUCUAAAGGUGACAGAAUGACCAUCUACACAUCAUCCACAUAACAAUAAAAGGAGAGAUAAAAGAAUAAAAGGAGAGCUCCUGACAAACAAGGAAAACUAUGCACUAUGUAGUUAUUUUUGAGAGGGAUACGAGAUUAAUCUCUACCGAUGAACGUUUAGAAACUCUGCCCUGCAAAGCCAGAAGCUGAGCUGGAAAUAAAUAAACAGGGCUGUUUUUUUGUUUGUUUUUAAUUUAUUUCUAGUGAGUUGCCAUAUGCCCUGAGGAUCAUGGUGGAUGUAAAUGGAUUUAAUUGACUAUUCACUGUAAAAGAAGCCAGAUAUGCUAAGCUGGGUAAUAGAAUGUAAUAUCUGUAAAGUGAUUGAGGAUGACAACCUGAAUUGUCUCAAAAGUAUGCUUGGAAAUUCCUGCCCCAAACAAUACUCUCCUAGUACUUGUUAACAAGUUGUCCGAUUUGGCUGCAAACUGAUUAAACAAUCCCAUAAUAUUUUCUAGGUUAUUACCUUUGGAUCUACUGACUAGUCUGUAUCUCCACCAAAGAUAUUUACCCUGGUUUGUAGGGCUCUCCCAGGUUUAAAAAAAAAAAGAAAGAAAACUAAGGGGAAAACCAGUGUCAAAGGACUACUCAGAUGUGCAGUCACUGAUGCAAGAUAUAACUGAGUUCUUGUCUAGGCUUCAUUCUGUAUGGAUCAUUUUGACAAACCACUUUACAAAAGUGGAAUACAGACUAGCAAUUUUCCAAAGUGAUGUUAUAGUUAUUUUCUUGUCUUCUUUCCCUUCAUCUGUUGGAGCAAGUCAUCUGAAACUAGGCUUCAAAGCAAAACUCUUUCAUUAUUGAAAGGUUUCCUUGACUUCCCAAUGUAUUUCCCAGGAAAGGAGCAAAAGAUACUGAUACCUCUGUUUAGUCCAUAGUAGAAAUACCCAAAACAGCAAACAAAAAAAGAUUUCAACAUUGAAAAUCCCUCAGCUCCAAGACCAGUCUUAGGAAACGAUUGGGAAUUAGGCAGUUUUUUUUUUAUUAUUAUUAUUUUUUUAACUUGAGAAUUUAGAUUACAUUUAGAUGUUCACAUUCAAAAUUCUCAGAAAAGAACUGCAAAUCAGGGAAUUGCCAAGACCAGUAGGCAGACAGAACUUUGAAGAAAAAAUUUGGCUGCAUCAUUACAAUGUGCAGUUUCUCACCUUCCUGUGAUGAAUGUCUCAUCCUCCAUUUUGGCCUACUAGUAAGCUAACAUACCACAGCAACAUGCCCCAAAACCUUACUUGAGACAAAAAUUCAAUGGAUUCUGUAGCUGAGAGACUUGCACUUAAGAACAACCUAAUAAUAGCCAAGUGCAGAUAACUGCAGUCCUGUAAUGAUUUGAGAUAUGUUUUAACUUGAUGAAUUCUCUUUAAUGCUGCACUGUUGUUGUAUGUGUCAGACUCCAAACAUCAAACUGAUCGAAGGUUUUAUCUAACUGGGUAUCUUCAUCUGUGCAGAAGCAGAAAGAGACUGAAGGCGAACAGGAGACGUCUGCAAGUCCCUAACGAUCACUCAUUCAUGUGGAAGCACCACACAAAGUAACUGGCAGCUCUGCAGAAAAAACAGCCAGGCCAAAGACCUUCAUAUCCAUUACAUGAUCCAGCACUCAUCUCAAAAGCUCUAAACAUCCUGAAGCCUUCAUUCUGAAAAGAAGUUUUAAUCGUCUUGUUUACUAAGAGCUGAUUCCUCUGUAAAAGCAAUAGAUGAUAGGUAUGAACCCUAAUGCUACCAAUUUUAAGAUUGCCAGACAAAGUCAGUGUUAAUGAUUUGUAUGUCUCAUACUGUAAGAGACUAUUCUUUUAUAUGAUUGACUCAAAGUUUGCUGAGGAGCAAGUCCAGGCAAGUCCUGGGCUAAGGUAGAGAAAUCUUCUGUCUGGAGGACACUGAUGGACAGGUCCUGGCUAAGGAUUGUGAAAUCCUUUAAGAAGCACAGAUGGACAAGGCCAGGGGCAACGAGAGAGAGAUAAGCUGCUGAUAAUGGCCAGGAAACGGUCUUUUUGUGUGGACUUAGCUCGAGGAAGAUGUCCAUCUCAGGAGGUAUGCACAUGACUCUUGUUCAAGCACCCAGGGAUGUCACGUAGGCAGGAGAAAAUGGAGGAUAAAAGAGGGUCCAACAACCAUGGCGGACUAGAGGCUGAUCUCUCACCACGACAGACCAGUGAAGGGUUUCUGCCAUCAGAUCCCUCACCACGACAGACUCGAGGUUUCUGUCUUCAGAUCCUUCUCUACAGACCGUAUGCUGAUGGGCUUCCCUGGGCCUGCUACCUGACACCUGCUGCUUCCUCCCAGACUUACUCUGCAGUUUCUUCCUGGACCCACCCGGUACCUGCACCCUCUCGUUGCCCAAGACCGGCCUCGCUGCUCCUGCCCUUCGGCCUCAGACUGUUGGAACGUCGUGCAACGGGACUGCUGCUGGAUCCUGGUGGUGACUAUCCCCGCUUUACGCAAUUCUUGCUUCUUUCUAUCUUUUCUAUCACUCGCCUUCCCUUCCCCAUCACCCCAAUCCGUAAUAGUGUCCGUCCUCCCCUUUCUUCAUCUCCCUUAUUAACAUUUGUAAUAAACUGGUCGGACC